rnacentral:misc_RNA from 1 species
AAAAAAAAGAGAGAGAGAGAUGGAGAUGAGCAAGAAGCUGGUCGUGUUAGUAAUGGCGGUCGUGCUACUUGUGGGCGAUUCAGUUGGAGGCACCAACACGUUCACCAUUGGCGAGGCGAUGGAAGUCAGUUCCGAUGAGGUCAACCGAGUGGAUAAUUCAGAGAUGAUGGCUGUCCCAAGAAAAAUAAUGUUGAAAAAUAGAGUUGGAGUAUGUCUGUUUGUAGGGAAGCCAUGCUGGAGUGAUGCAGAUUGUCCUUCUGGGUGCUAUUGCAAACCUCUUCCACUAAUAGAUGCGGGGUACUGUGGGUUUCUCUGAUUCUUAAUAUGUGAUAUGAUGAAUAAAAUAGAGAACCCCUAAGUUUGUGACGAUGUUGUGAAAAAAUAAGAAUAAUUAAAAUGGUUGAACCCAAGUUUGGGAUCUCUUUGUGUGUGACAGAUUCUAUGGUACAUCUCUUUUUCUAUGUGGGAUUUUGUAUGGAUAAUUAAUAAAAAUGUUUUGGGAUCUCUCUCUCUGAGAUUCUUA